UUGACAGCCGCGCGGAGUGGAGCCUGAGCCUGCUUUGGCUCACCACUGGGAAACUCACCUGGCCCGGACACCGGAAGGAUUGACAGAUUGAUUGCUCUUUCUUGAUUCGGUGGGUGGGGGUGCAUGGCCGUUCUUAGUUGGAGGAGGGAUCUGUCUGGUUAAUUCCGAUUACGAUCCCGACUCUAGCCUAUUAAAUUGACGUCGGGUUCUCUGCCCUCGACGGUCUUCUUAGAGGGACAAGGUGCUUUUAGCUCCGCUAACCAGACCAAUAAAAUGUCGGUGAUGCCCUUAUAUGUCCGGGGCCGAAGGCCCGCUACGCUGAAGGACGCAACGAGGGACAACCUUGUGCCAACGAACUGUGAAACCCGUGGAUCUGCCUAUAUGAUUGGGAUAGGGGUUUGCAAUGAUGCCCCUUGAACCCGGAAGUCCAAGAAAGAGCUAGUCCUCGUCUAGUGCUGAUUACGUCUCUGCCCUAUGUACUCCCCGCCCUUCGCUACUACCGAUUGUAUGUUCUACUGA
rnacentral:rRNA from 1 species